rnacentral:sRNA from 1 species
AUUCCCUCGGCGGGCCGAGCCUCCCCUCUCUCCCGCCCCUCCUCCUCCCUUUCCCACCCCUCGGAGUGGAGCUGCACAUGCGGCUGCUCCCUGCUCCGUCCCGCCCAGCCACUGUCGCGCAGGAACGGGUCCCUGCAGCCCCCAGCCGAUGGCAGGACAGUAGCCGCCUGUCAGAGGUCGUGAACGGCUGAGGCAGACGCAGCGGCUCCCGGGCCUCAAGAGAGUGGGUGUCUCCGGAGGCCAUGGGCUACCCGGAGGUGGAGCGCAGGGAACUCCUGCCUGCAGCAGCGCCGCGGGAGCGAGGGAGCCAGGGCUGCGGGUGUGGCGGGGCCCCUGCCCGGGCGGGCGAAGGGAACAGCUGCCUGCUCUUCCUGGGUUUCUUUGGCCUCUCGCUGGCCCUCCACCUGCUGACGUUGUGCUGCUACCUAGAGUUGCGCUCGGAGUUGCGGCGGGAACGUGGAGCCGAGUCCCGCCUUGGCGGCUCGGGCACCCCUGGCACCUCUGGCACCCUAAGCAGCCUCGGUGGCCUCGACCCUGACAGCCCCAUCACCAGUCACCUUGGGCAGCCGUCACCUAAGCAGCAGCCAUUGGAACCGGGAGAAGCCGCACUCCACUCUGACUCCCAGGACGGGCACCAGGCCUGUUUUCCUCAGGUCUUGCUAAGCCUGUGACCUGUCAGCUAUGCUUAGAUGGCCCUAUUGAAUUUCUUCUUCCCUGAUGAAAAGCCAUACUCUGAAGAAGAAAGUAGGCGUGUUCGCCGCAAUAAAAGAAGCAAAAGCAAUGAAGGAGCAGAUGGUAAGUCUACUCAGUUGAUCCUUUAUCACUUCUGAAUUAUUUGUUAGUAAAAGUAUCCUUUUAAGAACUACCUUCUUGGUAGGGCAUGGUGGCUCACGCCUGUAAUCCUAGCACUUUGGGAGGCCCAGGCGGGCAGAUCACUUGAGGUGAGGAAUUCAAAACCAGCCUGGCCAAUAUGGUGAAACCCUGUCUCUACUAAAAAUACAAAAAAAAUUAGCCGGGCCUAGUCCCAGCUGCUUGGGAGACUGAGGCAGGAGAAUCGCUUGAAACUGGGAGGUAGAGGUUGCAGUGAGCUGAGACUGUGCCACUGCACUCCAGCCUGGGUGACAGUGUGAGACUCCAUCUCAAAAAAAAAAAAAAAAA